rnacentral:rRNA from 1 species
GCAGUCGAGCGCGCCCUUCGGGGUGAGCGGCGGACGGGUCAGUAACGCGUGGGAACGUGCCCUUUGCUGCGGAAUAGCCACUGGAAACGGUGAGUAAUACCGCAUGAGCCCUUCGGGGGAAAGAUUUAUCGGCAAGGGAUCGGCCCGCGUUGGAUUAGGUAGUUGGUGGGGUAAUGGCCUACCAAGCCGACGAUCCAUAGCUGGUUUCAGAGGAUGAUCAGCCACACUGGGACUGAGACACGGCCCAGACUCCUACGGGAGGCAGCAGUGGGGAAUCUUAGACAAUGGGCGCAAGCCUGAUCUAGCCAUGCCGCGUGAGUGACGAAGGCCCUAGGGUCGUAAAGCUCUUUCGCCUGUGAAGAUAAUGACGGUAGCAGGUAAAGAAACCCCGGCUAACUCCGUGCCAGCAGCCGCGGUAAUACGGAGGGGGUUAGCGUUGUUCGGAAUUACUGGGCGUAAAGCGCGCGUAGGCGGACCAUCAAGUUGGGGGUGAAAUCCCGGGGCUCAACCCCGGAACUGCCUCCAAAACUGGCGGUCUGGAGUUCGAGAGAGGUGAGUGGAAUUCCGAGUGUAGAGGUGAAAUUCGUAGAUAUUCGGAGGAACACCAGUGGCGAAGGCGGCUCACUGGUCUCGAGACUGACGCUGAGGUGCGAAAGUGUGGGGAGCAAACAGGAUUAGAUACGCUGCUAGUCCACACCGUAAACGAUGAAUGCCAGUCGUCGGCAAGCAUGCUUGUCGGUGACACACCUAACGGAUUAAGCAUUCCGCCUGGGGAGUACGGCCGCAAGGUUACAACUCAAAUGAAYUGACGGGA